rnacentral:rRNA from 1 species
CUACGGGGUGCUGCAGUGGGGAAUAUUGCACAAUGGGCGCAAGCCUGAUGCAGCCAUGCCGCGUGUAUGAAGAAGGCCUUCGGGUUGUAAAGUACUUUCAGCGGGGAGGAAGGGAGUAAAGUUAAUACCUUUGCUCAUUGACGUUACCCGCAGAAGAAGCACCGGCUCAACUCCGUGCCAGCAGCCGCGGUAAUACGGAGGGUGCAAGCGUUAAUCGGAAUUACUGGGCGUAAAGCGCACGCAGGCGGUUUGUUAAGUCAGAUGUGAAAUCCCCGGGCUCAACCUGGGAACUGCAUCUGAUACUGGCAAGCUUGAGUCUCGUAGAGGGGGGUAGAAUUCCAGGUGUAGCGGUGAAAUGCGUAGAGAUCUGGAGGAAUACCGGUGGCGAAGGCGGCCCCCUGGACGAAGACUGACGCUCAGGUGCGAAAGCGUGGGGAGCAAACAGGAUUAGAUACCCGUGUAGUC